rnacentral:tRNA from 1 species
UCUCUGGUGGCUCAGAUGGUAAAUAAUUUGCUUGUAAAGCAGAAAGCCCAGGUUUAAUUCCUGGUUAGGGAA